UACGGAGGGUCCAAGCGUUAUCCGGAAUCAUUGGGUUUAAAGGGUCCGUAGGCGGUUUUGUAAGUCAGUGGUGAAAGCCCGUCGCUCAACGGCGGAACGGCCAUUGAUACUGCAAGACUUGAAUUAUUGGGAAGCAACUAGAAUAUGUAGUGUAGCGGUGAAAUGCUUAGAGAUUACAUGGAAUACCAAUUGCGAAGGCAGGUUGCUACCAA
rnacentral:rRNA from 1 species